GAACUUCCAGAAACUUUUUGUGGUGGCUGGGUUGGCUAUUUUUCUUAUGAUACAGUACGAUAUGUGGAGAAGAAAAAGCUUCCGUUUUCAAGCGCUCCUAAGGAUGACAGAAAUCUGGCGGACAUACACCUUGGCCUAUAUGAUGAUGUGAUUGUAUUUGAUCAUGUGGAGAAGAAAGUCCAUGUGAUCCACUGGGUGAGGAUGGAGAGACAUUCCUCUGUGGAAGAUGCUUACUCUGAUGGAAUCAAGCGAUUAGAAAAAUUGUUGGCCAGAUUGCAGGAUAUUGACCACCCAAGGCUAUCUGCAGGAGUUGUAAACUUACAAACUCGCCAUUUUGGCCCCUCAUUGACAAAUUCCAACAUGGCAUGCGAAGAGUAUAAGGGGGCAGUAUUAAAGGCCAAAGAGCACAUUCUGGCUGGAGAUAUAUUCCAGAUAGUAUUAAGUCAGCGUUUUGAACGCCGAACAUUUGCUGACCCAUUUGAAGUCUAUAGGGCACUGAGAGUUGUGAAUCCCAGUCCUUACAUGACUUACUUGCAAGCCAGAGGGUGUAUUCUAGUUGCCUCAAGUCCAGAAAUUCUUACACGUGUAAAGAAGAAUAAGAUAGUUAAUCGGCCGUUAGCUGGAACUAUCAGAAGAGGGAAAACAACUGAAGAAGAUGAGAUGUUGGAGGGGCGUCUACUAAAUGAUCCAAAGCAGUGUGCAGAGCAUAUCAUGCUGGUUGAUCUGGGCAGAAAUGAUGUUGGAAAGGUCAUAAAACUAAUUAUUGUGGAUGUUACUCUGCAUUUCUCAGAGCUCAUAUAUUCAUGUUAUAUUGUGCUUCUGUCAAUUUUAGCUGGAUAAUUUAAUACACUUCUUUUUUGUUCUUUCUUGGUCUGCGUUGUAUGUUCUUUCAUUUUUUUGUUUCAAAGGCUUAUACUGCUCGGUCAAUCACUAGUGUGAAUUAGGAAAUUUCUUUUAUCAACUUUCAUUAUUUAACAAUUUUCUGUAUGCUGAAAGUAGCUGGUUGUCAUUUUCCUUGCUUUCCAUUUUUAAAUGAAUUGAUAUCAAAAUUUCUUUGUUUUUCAUUGUCUAAGGAAUUGAUAUCGAGAUAAUCAGAAUUCCAGUUUCAUUAAUGUCCAUAGAAUCAUAUGCCUUCUUUUGCUUGUCUGUAGAAAUCGACAAAGAGGAUGAUAUUUUCUUGUCUGUACAAUGAUGCGUUACUAGGGAUGUAUCUGCUAUUGUGUUCUUUAACUGAUAAUAAUGCGGAUUUUAAUUCUUCUCUCUGUUAUCCUGUUCUCUUAUUUGUUCUGAGCUUAAUUCCUUAUCUUUUUCCCUGACAGAAAAUAUUAUAGUGCAGAAUUAUUUUUUUGUUUCUUCCCUUUUAUUUGUGGGAAGUAUUGUAGUAUUUGCUGUGGCAUUAGUGUCCAAAUAAAAAAAUUUUUAUUAAACUUUUAAGCACCAUUUAGCAGACAUAUUAAUCUAGAUGAUGCAGUAAAAUUAUGCACCAGGCAAUCUUUUUCGUUAUUUUUUUCUGUGCAGGUCUCAAAAUAUGGUUCUGUGAUGGUGGAAAAACUCAUGAAUGUUGAAAGAUAUUCCCAUGUCAUGCAUAUAAGCUCCACGGUUACCGGAGAAUUACAGGAUAAUCUCUCUUGCUGGGAUGCUUUGCGUGCUGCUUUGCCUGUUGGAACUGUUAGUGGAGCACCAAAGGUGAAGGCAAUGGAAUUAAUAGACCGGUAUGAGGUUAACAGGCGAGGCCCAUACAGUGGAGGAUUUGGUGGCGUGUCCUUCCUAGGCGAUAUGGACAUUGCCUUGGGACUUAGGACAAUGGUGUUCCCGACGGGAGCACGAUAUGACACGAUGUACCGGUACAAAAAUGCUGAUAGUCGGCGUGAAUGGGUGGCAUACCUUCAAGCUGGUGCAGGUAUAGUUGCGGAUAGUGAUCCUGAUGAAGAGCACCGUGAGUGCCAAAACAAAGCUGCCGGUCUUGCACGUGCCAUUGACUUGGCUGAGUCUGCUUUUAUUGAGAAAUGAGAAGCCUGUUCCCUGAAUCCUCAUACAUAUUUUCCAAGCGGCUCUACCUUUGCUGUGUAGCAACAUGCUUGGUGGGUAAGCCAGCUGUGCUUGAGAAGGAAAAGCACAUAGAAAGGGAAAGAAUUUUGCCCAGCGAAUGUCAACCUUAUGUCCUUUACACAGGACUUAAGAAACAAGUUCACUAAAAAAUACAGUUGGUAUUUCUUCGGGUAUUUGAAGUUACAGAUGUUGAGUUUUCUAACUUCUAAGAAGGUGGAUAUUAGAGAUAUACUGAUCAACUAAGAUAACCUUUGUAGUCUUCUUUUGUAAUUUUACCCCCGGCAAUAGUAUGAUAUGACAUUUUUUUUCUUAGUAUAGCACAAGGAAAAUUUUUU
rnacentral:misc_RNA from 1 species